GAAGCAAUAGUAAGGUCUAUUUAUAGAUGAGGUGAAACUGUAAAUAUAAUUUAUUGAGAGAUGGUUCUGUUGAGCUCCAAACAGGAAACAAGGACGUUUUCUAAAACAUACUGCUUUCUGUAACGGAUAGUAGUAGGCAGUUUGUUGUACACCUGGAUUUCCACUGAGGUGGGUCAGACUGUGGACUUGUUUCUGAAUUAAGAGGUAAAGUAACACUAGUAAACUUGAGUAGAGGCAACUGUUAAGAGGAAGAGUAGAAGGUAUAAUUGACAAGAAGGUAUAAAAUUGACAAGUUAAGCUUCUCUUAAAAAUGCUAAAAAAGGAAGGAAUUUUAAAAUAUAUAAUGAAAUUUUUAGCCACC